AGAAAGAGAGCAGGGCGGAUUUCAGAGCUCAGCGCUUUAUAUUUCACCCGGUAUUAAGUGAUGUGGUGCUGAUACCUGGUUUAUUAUAAUCUGUGCCCUGGUCAUGCUUUAAACUGGGAGAGCAGCAGGUCCAGUGUCUAGUUCUGUGAAAAGAGCACAAACACCAGGAUGGAUCCUCCUUACUUCAGCAGGAAGGAAGAAGUAUAUGACUUGAAACUGCAGACAUUUAGAGCAGAACCUCCAGAGCCCAGCUGUGUGUCUAUGAAGAGCAACUAUUCCAUGGAGCAGCCUCAUAAUUUCAGUAAUGAAAGAAGCAGCACUGAUCUGAGAAAUACAUUCAGAGCAGAAUCUCCAGAGCCCAGCUGUGUGUCUAUUAAGAGCAGCCACUCGAUGCAUCAGCCUAUUUAUUUCAGUAAUGAAAGAAGCAGUACUGAUCUGAGACAUACAUUCAGAGCAGAAUCUCCAGAGCCCAGCUGUGUGUCUAUUAAGAGCAGCCACUCGAUGCAUCAGCCUAUUUAUUUCAGUAAUGAAAGAAGCAGUACUGAU
rnacentral:lncRNA from 1 species